GCGGACGUGCUGGAAUUGGUAGACAGGCUGGCUUGAGGUGCCAGUGCCGUAAAAAGCGUGGAGGUUCAAGUCCUCUCGUCCGCACCA
rnacentral:tRNA from 1 species